rnacentral:tRNA from 1 species
GAGGUUGUGGCUCAGUGGUAGAGUGCAUGCCUAGCAUGUGUGCGGCCCUGGGUUCGAUCCUCAGCACCACA